rnacentral:lncRNA from 1 species
AUGUCAAAUCUGGCUGGUGUCUACAAGAAGGUGAAGAUAGCUUCUGGUGGUCAAGAUUUGAUAUGGCCUCUUUCUAUGUUUCCACUCUCAAAACCCUAGAGCCGCACCAUAUUCUUCAAAAAUGAGGGUGGGAUGCGACAUAGAUGAUGAGAAUCCGAGUCUAGAUUCGACUUGCUAGUUGCGUGUUUCAAAAACGAAGAUGAAGGAGCGGAGGUGAAAGAGAACACAAACAAGAUUGAGCCGUCUUUUUUGUUGAAUUUGGUAUCACAAGUGAUGCAGCAUU